rnacentral:rRNA from 1 species
GAUGAACGCUAGCUACAGGCUUAACACAUGCAAGUCGAGGGGAAACGACAUCGAAAGCUUGCUUUUGGUGGGCGUCGACCGGCGCACGGGUGAGUAACGCGUAUCCAACCUGCCCACCACUUGGGGAUAACCUUGCGAAAGUAAGACUAAUACCCAAUGAUAUCCCACGAAGGCAUCGGAAUGGGAUUAAAGAUUUAUCGGUGAUGGAUGGGGAUGCGUCUGAUUAGCUUGUUGGCGGGGUAACGGCCCACCAAGGCUACGAUCAGUAGGGGUUCUGAGAGGAAGGUCCCCCACAUUGGAACUGAGACACGGUCCAAACUCCUACGGGAGGCAGCAGUGAGGAAUAUUGGUCAAUGGGCGAGAGCCUGAACCAGCCAAGUAGCGUGCAGGACGACGGCCCUAUGGGUUGUAAACUGCUUUUAUAAGGGAAUAAAGUGAGUCUCGUGAGACUUUUUGCAUGUACCUUAUGAAUAAGGACGGCUAAUUCCGUG